UACAGAGGUCUCAAGCGUUUGUUCGGAUUCAUUGGGCGUAAAGGGUGCGUAGGCGGCGCGGUAAGUCGGGUGUGAAAUCUCGGAGCUUAACUCCGAAACUGCAUUCGAUACUGCCGUGCUUGAGGACUGGAGAGGAGACUGGAAUUUACGGUGUAGCGGUGAAAUGGCGUAGAUAUCGUAAGGAAGACCAGUGGCGAAGGC
rnacentral:rRNA from 1 species